AGCGAACGUUUGCGGCGGGCCUAACACAUGCAAGUCGAACGCACUAGCAAUAGUGAGUGGCGCACGGGUGCGUAACACGUGGGUAAUCAACCCUUCAGCUUGGGAUAACGACUUGAAAGGGUCGCUAAUACCGGAUACGGCGCGGGAGGCUUCGGCUUCUCACGAGAAAGCCUCGCAAGGGGCACUGAAGGACGAGCCUGCGGCCCAUCAGCUAGUUGGUGAGGUAAGAGCUCACCAAGGCUAAGACGGGUAGCUGGUCUGAGAGGAUGAUCAGCCACACUGGAACUGAGACACGGUCCAGACUCCUACGGGAGGCAGCAGUGGGGAAUAUUGCGCAAUGGGCGAAAGCCUGACGCAGCCACGCCGCGUGAGCGAUGAAGGCCUUCGGGUCGUAAAGCUCUGUGGGGAGAGACGAAGAAAGCCUGUGAAGAGCAGGCCUUGACGGUAUCUCCUUAGCAAGCACCGGCUAACUCCGUG
rnacentral:rRNA from 1 species